GCAGAGCAAAUCGCUAAAAGCCGUCUCAGUUCGGAUUGCAGGCUGAAACCCGCCUGCAUGAAGUUGGAAUUGCUAGUAAUCGCGGAUCAGCAUGCCGCGGUGAAUACGUUCCCGGGCCUUGUACACACCGCCCGUCACACCAUGAGAGUCGGGAACACCCGAAGUCCGUAGUCUAACCGCAAGGAGGGCGCGGCCGAAGGUGGGUUCGAUAAUUGGGGUGAAGUCGUAACAAGGUAUC
rnacentral:rRNA from 1 species